rnacentral:rRNA from 1 species
AACGAACGCUGGCGGCAGGCUUAACACAUGCAAGUCGAGCGCCCCGCCAGGGGCGCGGCAGACGGGUGAGUAACGCGUGGGAAUCUACCCAUCUCUACGGAAUAACGCAUGGAAACGUGUGCUAAUACCGUAUACGUCCUUCGGGAGAAAGAUUUAUCGGAGAUGGAUGAGCCCGCGUUGGAUUAGCUAGUUGGUGGGGUAGAGGCCUACCAAGGCGACGAUCCAUAGCUGGUCUGAGAGGAUGAUCAGCCACACUGGGACUGAGACACGGCCCAGACCCCUACGGGAGGAGGCAGGGGGGAAUAUGGGACAAUGGGCGCAAGCCUGAACCAGCCAUGCCGCGUGAGUGUGGAAGGCGCUAGGGUUGUAAAGCUCUUUCACCGGUGGAGAUACUGACGGUAACCGGAGAAGAAGCCCCGGCUAACUUCGUGCCAGCAGCCGCAGUAACAC